rnacentral:rRNA from 1 species
GACGAACGCUUGCGACGUGCCUAAGAAAUGCAAGUCGAACGGGGCGGUCUUCGGAUCGUCUAGUGGCGAACGGUCGCGUAACACGUGGGCAACCUGCCCUGAAGCGGGGGACAACAACUCGAAAGAGUUGCUAAUACCGCAUGUGAACGGGAGUGGCAUCACUUUUUGUUCAAAGCAGCAAUGCACUUCAGGAUGGGCCCGCGGCCUAUCAGCUAGUUGGUGAGGUAACGGCCCACCAAGGCUUCGACGGGUAGCUGGUCUGAGAGGACGAUCAGCC